rnacentral:rRNA from 1 species
GAAAUAAGAUUUUAAAUGAGUGCUAAGAGAAUGAUUAAACAAUUAAAAGCUUUCUUUAAUUAAAUAAUUAAAUUUAAUUUUUUAGUGCAAAAGCAAAAAUAAAAUUUAGGGACAAGAAGACCCUAUGAAUUUUUAUUGUUAAUAAUUAAAAUUUAAAUUAUUAAUAAUUUAAUUGGGGCGAUAAAAAAAGAAUAAGUAUCUUUUUAGUUAUAAAAUAAGUUCCGUUUUUAGCGAUUAAAUGAAAUAAAUACUCUAGGGAUAACAGCGUAAUAAUUUUGGAUAGUUCAUAUAGAUAAAAUAGUUUGCGACCUCGAUGUUGGAUUAGGAUUCUU